UACAGAGGUCUCAAGCGUUGUUCGGAUUCCUUGGGCGUAAAGGGUGCGUAGGCGGCGCGGUAAGUCGGGUGUGAAAUCUUGGAGCUUAACUCCGAAACUGCAUUCGAUACUGCCGUGCUUGAGGACUGGAGAGGAGACUGGAAUUUACGGUGUAGCGGUGAAAUGCGUAGAUAUCGUAAGGAAGACCAGCGGCGAAGGCGGGUCUCUGGACAGUUCCUGACGCUGAGGCACGAAGGUCAGGGGAGCAAACGGG
rnacentral:rRNA from 1 species